rnacentral:lncRNA from 8 species
CAUCUUGGCGGCAUCUUGGAUGUUGUUUAAAGGGUUUCCUGUGGGAGAUAUUUGUGCUGUGGCGAGUUGAGCAUCACCACACACUUUUGUUCGGAUAGACACCACACAGUUCAGGAUAUGUGGGAGCUGUGCCAGCAUUUAGGCCUACUGAUAGGCUCCCUGCAUGUUGUCUCGGUGAAUCAUGGCUCCUGUUAAGGCUCUGCGGGCUAUUGCUCCUGCAUGUCCCUGUAUGGGAGAGAGUGAGUAGUGGACUGAAAGUGGAUGGGUUGGUGGUUGUCUAACUCCAAUUUUCU